rnacentral:rRNA from 1 species
CUUGCUAAAAUAUAAGAGGUCCAGCCUGCCCAGUGACCCAGUUCAACGGCCGCGGUAUCCUAACCGUGCGAAGGUAGCGUAAUCACUUGUUCUUUAAAUGGGGACUAGUAUGAAUGGCAUCACGAGGGUUGAACUGUCUCCUUUCUCUAAUCAGUGAAACUAAUCUCCCCGUGAAGAAGCGGGAAUCAUUUUAUAAGACGAGAAGACCCUAUGGAGCUUAAAACAAAUUGACACAUGCUUCCACCUACUUCAAUUCCUGAAUAAAUAUACAAAAUAUAGCAUCAUUGAUUAAUAGUUUUAGAUUGGGGUGAUCAUGGAGCAAAAAACAACCUCCACGACGAAAAGGAAUAUUCCCUGAGCCAAAAGCCACAACUUUAAGCACUAAAAAAUUAACGCAUCUUGACCCAAUUUUUUGAACAACGAAC